rnacentral:rRNA from 1 species
CCUACGGGAGGCAGCAGUGGGGAAUAUUGGACAAUGGGGGCAACCCUGAUCCAGCAAUGCCGCGUGAGUGAUGAAGGCCUUAGGGUUGUAAAGCUCUUUUACCGGGGAGGCGGUACCCGGAGAAUAAGCCCCGGCUAACUUCGUGCCAGCAGCCGCGGUAAUACGAAGGGGGCGAGCGUUGUUCGGAGUUACUGGGCGUAAAGGGCGCGUAGGCGGCGUUCCAAGUUAGGCGUGAAAGCCCCGGGCUCAACCUGGGAAUUGCGCUUAAGACUGGAAUGCUUGAGUGCGGAAGAGGUGAGUGGAAUUCCCAGUGUAGAGGUGAAAUUCGUAGAUAUUGGGAAGAACACCAGUGGCGAAGGCGGCUCACUGGUCCGCACUGACGCUGAGGCGCGAAAGCGUGGGGAGCAAACAGGAUUAGAUACCCUUGUAGUC